rnacentral:rRNA from 1 species
AGCGAACGCUGGCGGCAGGCCUAACACAUGCAAGUCGAACGAACCUUUCGGGGUUAGUGGCGGACGGGUGAGUAACACGUGGGAACGUGCCUUUAGGUUCGGAAUAACUCAGGGAAACUUGUGCUAAUACCGAAUGUGCCCUUCGGGGGAAAGAUUUAUCGCCGUUAGAGCGGCCCGCGUCUGUUUAGCUAGUUGGUUGAGGUAAUGGCUCACCAAGGCGACGAUCAGUAGCUGGUCUGAGAGGAUGAUCAGCCACAUUGGGACUGAGACACGGCCCAAACUCCUACGGGAAGCAGCAGUGGGGAAUCUUGCGCAAUGGGCGAAAGCCUGACGCAGCCAUGCCGCGUGAAUGAUGAAGGUCUUAGGAUUGUAAAAUUCUUUCACCGGGGACGAUAAUGACGGUACCCGGAGAAGAAGCCCCGGCUAACUUCGUG